rnacentral:misc_RNA from 1 species
CAACCCUCAAGCCCUAGUUGCUUGGUGUUGGGAGCUUAUCCUGCCGGAAGGCGGGACAACUCCUUAAAAUUAUUGGCGGAGUCGCGGUGACCCCAAGCGCAGUAAUUCCUUUUCUCGCUUUAGGUGUUAACGCUGGCUUCCAGCCAUUAAACCCCCCUAUUUUAUAAU